rnacentral:lncRNA from 13 species
CUAUAAGCCCGCAUACGAGCAUGUGAUGCAUCACGUGACUGAUUACUGCGAUAUGACAAGUUUCUUAACCUAUAACCGGAAAUCGGCAAUAAUAUCUCGGUUUGCGAGGCAGACGACACUUUUUUUGCCGAUUAUCACCAAGAGAAUCUUGUCCCGUACACAUUUUCGACACGGAGUGAUGCUUGUUAUAGCCGUUUUAUGUGAUCAUGGGUGCGUUCCGUUUCACGUAUAAUAACAUAUAAAAUAAUAUGCGAUGCAUCAUUUAUCCUUGUUGUUCAACUAAAAAAUAACUAACGUUAAAUGAGGAUAUAUAAAGAAUUAUGCAAGUCAUACGUGAUACCGAACGCACCUCAAGUGAUGUGAUGUAUGAAUCAUAUGACCAAAUUUAUGAUUGCCGAUAUGAGAGAUUAUCUGGCCUGAAAAGUCAACAACAUCUCGUUUCGCGAAACAAAAUGACACUUCUCCUGCCAGAUUCGUUCAUUUCGUGUAAAAACGCCGAAUCAGCCUAAGUUCAUCAAUACCGAAGAUGAAGAGUAUAAGAGUACUGGUGCCUAUAGCGGCCAUUAUUAUUAUGAUAAUUGUCAUUUUCUUCACCCUCAAAAGCGUACUUUAAUGGAUGAGUUGAUGGAGUUUAUGAAUUUUAUUCCAAUGGAACAUAAUAAUAAUGUAGGAGAACGCAGAUAAAAAGGAUUGACGACUUUUACUAGAAGUUGCAGAAUUCCAAGAUCUUGGCCAAUUUCAUCGAAAAAUUAAAUCUCCAGAAAAUGCAGAAAUUAAUCGAUAAUCUAUGUGGAAGUCAGAUUUACAAAAAUUUUAUCACGAUGACCAGAGAAGACAUUUGUAUUUCAGGAACUUACGAAACUUUGGUUUAGAAUAUUGAGUUUCCAUAUUAGUACAAUGACAUUAGAAUAGAAAAAUAAAUGUUUAAAGCAUGUAAAAUAUUUUACAUAUGUACUUUAAAUAAGUAUUUUUCUAUUUUUUUAAUGUCAUACGCUGACGUAAUAAAACCACAGAAUUCAUGAAUUAAACUACUAUUUUCUUAAAAUUUCAAAUAAUUUUAUUGUUUUAUAAAUAAAUUAUUUUCAUAAAAUUGAAUUAAAUCAUUUAAAUAAAUAACACAAAAAUAUGUUUAGAGAAACGCCAAAUCAAGACUAGAAUUUGUUUUGCUACUUAAUAAAAAAUAUAUCUUAUAUUUUAUAAAUCACAGCUGCAUUAUAUUUAUAAAUAAGCAUGUUCCGAGAAAUAAAUUGUUUUUUAAGUGUUAUAUUGAAUAUCUCUUAUCUAAUGACGAAAAAAUUGUUAUCAAUGACAAACUCUUUUAAAUAUGUGUUUUUGCAAAUUUAAUGUAAUCACAGAGAUUAAUAUCAAUGGUCAAGAAAAAGGAAAUGUAAUUUUAUUAUGUAUCUUAAUAAACUUCAUGAUAUAAAAUG